GAUGAACGCUGGCGGCGUGCCUAAUACAUGCAAGUCGAGCGAACGGACGAGAAGCUUGCUUCUCUGAUGUUAGCGGCGGACGGGUGAGUAACACGUGGAUAACCUACCUAUAAGACUGGGAUAACUUCGGGAAACCGGAGCUAAUACUGGAUAAUAUUUUGAACCGCAUGGUUCAAAAGUGAAAGACGGUCUUGCUGUCACUUAUAGAUGGAUCCGCGCUGCAUUAGCUAGUUGGUAAGGUAACGGCUUACCAAGGCAACGAUGCAUAGCCGACCUGAGAGGGUGAUCGGCCACACUGGAACUGAGACACGGUCCAGACUCCUACGGGAGGCAGAAGUAGGGAAUCUUCCGCAAUGGGCGAAAGCCUGACGGAGCAACGCCGCGUGAGUGAUGAAGGUCUUCGGAUCGUAAAACUCUGUUAUUAGGGAAGAACAUAUGUGUAAGUAACUGUGCACAUCUUGACGGUACCUAAUCAGAAAGCCACGGCUAACUACGUG
rnacentral:rRNA from 1 species